rnacentral:rRNA from 1 species
AUGCUUAACACAUGCAAGUCGAACGAGGUAGCAAUACCUAGUGGCAGACGGGUGAGUAACACGUAGUCAACCUACCUUUUAGUGGGGGAUAACUAGCCGAAAGGUUAGCUAAUACCGCAUACGAUCUUCGAGAGGCAUCUCUUGAAGCUGAAAGCAGCAAUGCGCUAAGAGACGGGACUGCGUCCCAUUAGCUAGUUGGUGGGGUAAUGGCCUACCAAGGCUUCGAUGGGUAGCUGGCUUGAGAGAGCGACCAGCCACACUGGAACCGAGACACGGUCCAGACUCCUACGGGAGGCAGCAGUGGGGAAUUUUGCGCAAUGGGGGAAACCCUGACGCAGCAACGCCGCGUGGAGGAUGAAGCCCUUUGGGGUGUAAACUCCUUUCGACCAAGACGAUUAUGACGGUACUGGUGGAAGAAGCACCGGCUAACUCUGUGCCAGCAGCCGCGGUAAUACAGAGGGUGCAAGCGUUGUUCGGAAUUAUUGGGCGUAAAGGGCGCGUAGGCGGUGCGGUAAGUCACCUGUGAAAUCUCUGGGCUUAACUCAGAGCUUGCAGGCGAAACUGCCGUGCUGGAGUGUGGGAGAGGUGCGUGGAAUUCCCGGUGUAGCGGUGAAAUGCGUAGAUAUCGGAAGGAACACCAGUGG